AAUAGAGUUUAUUAAAAUAUUAAAAAAUUUAAUUAAAAGUAAAUCUUCUUCUCUGUGUAAUUUGUGUGUGUGUGUGUCUUCUAAGUGUAGAAAAUUUCUUAAAAAAAAGUGUUUUUUUUUUUCGUUCUCUCAAAUCAGCAGCAGCACUUUAAGCUUCUUUUAACAAAUUUUUAUGGGGAAAUUAUUACAAUAAAAGUAAUAAAUUCAGCAAAUUAAAGAAAUUUUGUUGUUAUUUUUAAGAAAACAAGAAAAACAAAUUUACUGUUAUAAGAUUUUUACAGUAUUAACAACAACAACAACAAAACAAAAUCUAGCAACAAAACAUCACUGUAAAUAAAUUUUAAAAUAAAAUUGCUAAAAUAUUAAAUAAAUAAUAACAAUAAAAAGAAAAAAAGUUUUAACUUCAUAAAAAAAACAAGAGAAAAAAAUAUUUAGUGUUACACUAAAUAGCGUCUAGUUUGGUUUUCUUUAUCAUUUAUUUAACUCAAAUUCUCCCACAGUGUGUGUGCGUGUGUGUUUGUCUCUUUUACUCCCUAAUAAUAAUAACAACAACACACAGCCUUAUUACAAUAGCACUCAAUUAAAAAAGAAAAAAACAAAGAGCACAUAUAUUUUACAACAACACUCAGCUGCUAAACAACAUUUAACAACGAGUCUUUGUCCAUUUGUAGUGAGAGUGAGUAAGCGAGAGCGAGUGCUUCCCCAACCGGCAUUUUUUUGUGUUUUUCUUUUAUAAAGUAACUUACAAAAACGCUAAAGUAAACAAAAUAAAUAUUAAAAAAAACAACCUAAUCAAAAUAAUUGUUAAUAAAAAUUGCUAAUUAAUAUCACAAAUCAAUUAAUUGCUAAAAAAAAAACCUCUACAAAAAAACCAAGAGAGUAAGAAAGUUAGCAAAGCAAAUAAGUUUGUUUACCUUAAUGUUUUCGUUUUCUUCUUUUCCAUUUUAUUUUAUGCAUUUCUUUUUUUUUGCCUUAAACAAGUGUUAAAAUAAAUAUAUAAUUAAAUAAAUUCAUAAAUUUGCCAGCAAAAAUUAUUAAAUAUAAAUAAAGCUUUUACUCCUUAACAAGUGUUAAUAAAUAAUUAAUUGGCUUAAGAAAUUCUAAAAAAAUCAAUAUAAAAAUAUAAAUUAUUAAAUUUAAUCAUCAUUAUACUAGUAGCACACCCACCCAAAAUUAAUAAAAAAAAUUUAAAAAUAAAAUGUACAAAUAAACUAAACUACAAAUUAAACAAAAAAUACAAAAGAAAUUUAAAUAAUUUCCAUUUAAAUUUUUGUGUUUAGGAAAUAACUCAAAAAUUACAUUACAACGAGUUGAUUUCCUUAAAAAAAAAAAUUCCCCCAAAAAAUAAUAAAUAAAUAUUCAUUCUAUCAACAAACCCCUCACACACCCGAAAAAAAUUACUCUUCUACUAAUAGUAGGAAAGAAGAAAACAAAUUUGUUUAUUUGAGGCAAGUGUCUGCAUAUUAAAUACACAUGCAACAACAUUUGAAGACACUUGCAUUGCAGCAACUAAAUGUGUUGUAAAAUAACCAGACAGACAGCCAGAGUGAGUGUGUGUUAAACUAGCAAGUGGGCAUUUUAUUUAUUCAUUUAUUUGUUUUUGCUGUUGCUGGAAUUUGAUUUUGGUUAUUUUGAUAACGACUACGACGAAAAAGCCCAAACACGGGUGGUGGUGUUGCAUUAACGACAACAACAAUAUCAUCAUCACCAACAGCAACAACAGCAACAACUGCAAUUGCUACAAAAUAUUAAAAAGCAGCAAACAAAAAAACCCAACUGCAACAAACAGAAAAAUAUUUAUUUAUUGUUGUCGUUAAACUUCAAUGAGCGUUUCGAUGUCACUCGUACAAGGUGGAGCUGCAGGCGGUGCGCCACAAGGUGCUAUACUAGCGGCUGCUGCCCCAUAUUAUCAGCCACCAGCAGUACCACAAGAUGUUCAACCAGAUCGUCCCAUUGGUUAUGGAGCAUUUGGUGUAGUAUGGUAAGUGUCCGCAUAUGAUGAA